CCUACGGGGGGCUGCAGUGGGGAAUAUUGCACAAUGGGCGCAAGCCUGAUGCAGCCAUGCCGCGUGUGUGAAGAAGGCCUUCGGGUUGUAAAGCACUUUCAGCGGGGAGGAAGGCGUUAAGGUUAAUAACCUUGUCGAUUGACGUCACCCGCAGAAGAAGCACCGGCUAACUCCGUGCCAGCAGCCGCGGUAAUACGGAGGGUGCAAGCGUUAAUCGGAAUUACUGGGCGUAAAGCGCACGCAGGCGGUCUGUCAAGUCGGAUGUGAAAUCCCCGGGCUCAACCUGGGAACUGCAUUCGAAACUGGCAGGCUAGAGUCUUGUAGAGGGGGGUAGAAUUCCAGGUGUAGCGGUGAAAUGCGUAGAGAUCUGGAGGAAUACCGGUGGCGAAGGCGGCCCCCUGGACAAAGACUGACGCUCAGGUACGAAAGCGUGGGGAGCAAACAGGAUUAGAUACCCGUGUAGUC
rnacentral:rRNA from 1 species